rnacentral:rRNA from 1 species
UACGUAGGGGGCAAGCGUUGUCCGGAAUUACUGGGCGUAAAGGGCGCGUAGGCGGCCUUCUAAGUCGAACGUGAAAUCCCUGGGCUCAACCCAGGAACUGCGUCCGAUACUGGAAGGCUUGAAUCCGGGAGAGGGAUGCGGAAUUCCAGGUGUAGCGGUGAAAUGCGUAGAUAUCUGGAGGAACACCGGUGGCGAAGGCGGCAUCCUGGACCGGUAUUGACGCUGAGGCGCGAAAGCCAGGGGAGCAAACGGG